GUGAUCAACCUGAAGGUUCAAACAAGAACAAGUGAAAAAGGAAAGCAAACUGAAUAUGUGUAAUGGUAUCUUUUGUAAUAUUUAGACAGUAAUAAGGCAAUGAUAUAUAUUAUCUAUCAUGUAAGGAAUUAUAGUAAAGGUUGCGUACUUAGGAUUAGACUCUGAUAUAUGUAAACUAAGUUUGUUAUUUAUAUUAUUGUUAUUAUUAUUAGUAUUAUUCCACUCAUAGAAAUGGUAUCGUGAAGCACUGAGUUCGGGUUUCAAGUACCUGAAUUUGGGGGCGUCACAGAAAUCCUUAUCGGAAAGCCCCCUCUUUCCUGGGAAUGACCUGGUUGUUAAAUAUUAUGAGUAAUAAUAUUAAUGAUGAAUAAGUUGUGUUGAUUAAAGAUGAAAUUGAUAGUUCCAUUGUGUUGGGAUUAUUAGUGUUAGUGGAAAUCGACAUUUAUUUUGAUAAUAAUUGAUUUCUGGAG
rnacentral:lncRNA from 1 species